rnacentral:rRNA from 1 species
ACUCAAAUGAAUAGACGGGGACCCGCACAAGCGGUGGAUGAUGUGGAUUAAUUCGAUGCAACGCGAAGAACCUUACCUACCCUUGACAUGUCGCAAAGCUUCCAGAGAUGGGAGUGUGCCCGAAAGGGAAUGCGAACACAGGUGCUGCAUGGCUGUCGUCAGCUCGUGUCGUGAGAUGUUGGGUUAAGUCCCGCAACGAGCGCAACCCUUGUCAUUAGUUGCUACGAAAGGGCACUCUAAUGAGACUGCCGGUGACAAACCGGAGGAAGGUGGGGAUGACGUCAAGUCCUCAUGGCCCUUAUGGGUAGGGCUUCACACGUCAUACAAUGGUCGGUACAGAGGGUUGCCAAGCCGCGAGGUGGAGCCAAUCCCAGAAAGCCGAUCGUAGUCCGGAUUGUUCUCUGCAACUCGAGAGCAUGAAGUCGGAAUCGCUAGUAAUCGCAGGUCAGCAUACUGCGGUGAAUACGUUCCCGGGUCUUGCACACACCGCCCGU